UACCACCGGUGCUAGCGUUGCUCGGAAUUACUGGGCGUAAAGGGCGCGCACGCGGCUUUGUACAGUCAGAAGUGAUAUUCCCGCCCUCAACCUGGGGACUGCUUUUGAUACGUGCAUGCUAGAUUGAGGAAGAGAGAUGAGGAAUUUCCAGCGGAGAGAUGAAAUUCGUAGACAUUGGAAAAAAAACAGGGGGCGAAGGCGUCCACCUGGCCCUUUACUGACUCUGAGUCGAGAAAGCGUGGGGAGCAAACAGGAUUAGAUCCCCUGGUAGUCCACGCUGUAAACGAAGUGUGUUGGAUGUUGGGAAACUUAGUUUUUCAGGGUCGUAGCUAACGCGAUAAGCACACCGCCUGGGGAGUACGGCCGCAAGGUUGAAACUCAAAGGAAUUGGCGGGGGCCCCCACAAGCGGUGGAGCAUGUGGUUUAAUUCGAAGCAACGCGCAGAACCUUUCCAGGAUUUGACAUGGGGAGGACCGGUACAGAGAUGUACUUUUCCCGCAAGGGACCAUCCGCACAGGUGCUGCAUGGCUGUUGUCAGCUCGUGUCGUGAGAUGGUGGGUUAAAUCCCGCAACGAGCGCCACCCUCGCCUUUAGUUGCCAUCAUUUAGUUGGGCACUAUAAAGGAACUGCCGGUGACAAGGCGGAGGAAGGGGGGGAUGACGUCAAGUCCUCAUGGCCCUUAUGUCCUGGGCUCCCCCCGUGCAACAAGGGUGGUGACAGUGGGAAGCUAGGCAGUGAUGCCGUGCUGAUCUCUAAAACCCAUCUCAGUUCAGAUUGUACUCUGCAACUCGAGUCCAUGAAGGUGGAAUCGAUAGUAAUCGCGGAUCAGCAUGCCCCGGUGAAUACGUUCCCGGUCA
rnacentral:rRNA from 1 species